GGUUAAGCGACUAAGCGUACACGGUGGAUGCCCUGGCAGUCAGAGGCGAUGAAGGACGUGCUAAUCUGCGAAAAGCGUCGGUAAGGUGAUAUGAACCGUUAUAACCGGCGAUGUCCGAAUGGGGAAACCCAGUGUGAUUCGUCACACUAUCGUUAACUGAAUACAUAGGUUAACGAGGCGAACCGGGGGAACUGAAACAUCUAAGUACCCCGAGGAAAAGAAAUCAACCGAGAUUCCCCCAGUAGCGGCGAGCGAACGGGGAGCAGCCCAGAGUCUGAAUCAGCUUGUGUGUUAGUGGAACGGUCUGGAAAGUCCGACGGUACAGGGUGAUAGUCCCGUACACCAAAAUGCACAGGCUGUGAACUCGAAGAGUAGGGCGGGACACGUGGUAUCCUGUCUGAAUAUGGGGGGACCAUCCUCCAAGGCUAAAUACUCCUGACUGACCGAUAGUGAACCAGUACCGUGAGGGAAAGGCGAAAAGAACCCCGGCGAGGGGAGUGAAAAAGAACCUGAAACCGUGUACGUACAAGCAGUGGGAGCACCUUCGGGUGUGACUGCGUACCUUUUGUAUAAUGGGUCAGCGACUUAUAUUCUGUAGCAAGGUUAACCGUAUAGGGGAGCCGCAGGGAAACCGAGUCUUAACUGGGCGUUAAGUUGCAGGGUAUAGACCCGAAACCCGGUGAUCUAGCCAUGGGCAGGUUGAAGGUUGGGUAACACUAACUGGAGGACCGAACCGACUAAUGUUGAAAAAUUAGCGGAUGACUUGUGGCUGGGGGUGAAAGGCCAAUCAAACCGGGAGAUAGCUGGUUCUCCCCGAAAGCUAUUUAGGUAGCGCCUCGUGAAUUCAUCUUCGGGGGUAGAGCACUGUUUCGGCUAGGGGGUCAUCCCGACUUACCAACCCGAUGCAAACUACGAAUACCGAAGAAUGUUAUCACGGGAGACACACGGCGGGUGCUAACGUCCGUCGUGAAGAGGGAAACAACCCAGACCGCCAGCUAAGGUCCCAAAGUCAUGGUUAAGUGGGAAACGAUGUGGGAAGGCACAGACAGCCAGGAUGUUGGCUUAGAAGCAGCCAUCAUUUAAAGAAAGCGUAAUAGCUCACUGGUCGAGUCGGCCUGCGCGGAAGAUGUAACGGGGCUAAACCAUGCACCGAAGCUGCGGCAGCGACACUAUGUGUUGUUGGGUAGGGGAGCGUUCUGUAAGCCUGCGAAGGUGACCUGUGAGGGUUGCUGGAGGUAUCAGAAGUGCGAAUGCUGACAUAAGUAACGAUAAAGCGGGUGAAAAGCCCGCUCGCCGGAAGACCAAGGGUUCCUGUCCAACGUUAAUCGGGGCAGGGUGAGUCGACCCCUAAGGCGAGGCCGAAAGGCGUAGUCGAUGGGAAACAGGUUAAUAUUCCUGUACUUGGUGUUACUGCGAAGGGGGGACGGAGAAGGCUAUGUUAGCCGGGCGACGGUUGUCCCGGUUUAAGCAUGUAGGCUGAUUGUCCAGGCAAAUCCGGAUAAUCAAGGCUGAGGUGUGAUGACGAGGCACUACGGUGCUGAAGUAACAAAUGCCCUGCUUCCAGGAAAAGCCUCUAAGCAUCAGGUAACAUCAAAUCGUACCCCAAACCGACACAGGUGGUCAGGUAGAGAAUACCAAGGCGCUUGAGAGAACUCGGGUGAAGGAACUAGGCAAAAUGGUGCCGUAACUUCGGGAGAAGGCACGCUGGUGUGUAGGUGAAGUCCCUGCGGAUGGAGCUGAGACCAGUCGAAGAUACCAGCUGGCUGCAACUGUUUAUUAAAAACACAGCACUGUGCAAACACGAAAGUGGACGUAUACGGUGUGACGCCUGCCCGGUGCCGGAAGGUUAAUUGAUGGGGUUAUCCGUAAGGAGAAGCUCUUGAUCGAAGCCCCGGUAAACGGCGGCCGUAACUAUAACGGUCCUAAGGUAGCGAAAUUCCUUGUCGGGUAAGUUCCGACCUGCACGAAUGGCGUAAUGAUGGCCAGGCUGUCUCCACCCGAGACUCAGUGAAAUUGAACUCGCUGUGAAGAUGCAGUGUACCCGCGGCAAGACGGAAAGACCCCGUGAACCUUUACUAUAGCUUGACACUGAACAUUGAGCCUUGAUGUGUAGGAUAGGUGGGAGGCUUUGAAGCGUGGACGCCAGUCUGCGUGGAGCCAACCUUGAAAUACCACCCUUUAAUGUUUGAUGUUCUAACGUUGGCCCCUGACCGGGGUUGCGGACAGUGUCUGGUGGGUAGUUUGACUGGGGCGGUCUCCUCCCAAAGCGUAACGGAGGAGCACGAAGGUUAGCUAAUCCUGGUCGGACAUCAGGAGGUUAGUGCAAUGGCAUAAGCUAGCUUGACUGCGAGCGUGACGGCGCGAGCAGGUGCGAAAGCAGGUCAUAGUGAUCCGGUGGUUCUGAAUGGAAGGGCCAUCGCUCAACGGAUAAAAGGUACUCCGGGGAUAACAGGCUGAUACCGCCCAAGAGUUCAUAUCGACGGCGGUGUUUGGCACCUCGAUGUCGGCUCAUCACAUCCUGGGGCUGAAGUAGGUCCCAAGGGUAUGGCUGUUCGCCAUUUAAAGUGGUACGCGAGCUGGGUUUAGAACGUCGUGAGACAGUUCGGUCCCUAUCUGCCGUGGGCGCUGGAGAAUUGAGGGGGGCUGCUCCUAGUACGAGAGGACCGGAGUGGACGCAUCACUGGUGUUCGGGUUGUCAUGCCAAUGGCACUGCCCGGUAGCUAAAUGCGGAAGAGAUAAGUGCUGAAAGCAUCUAAGCACGAAACUUGCCCCGAGAUGAGUUCUCCCUGAGACUUUAAGUCUCCUGAAGGAACGUUGAAGACGACGACGUUGAUAGGCCGGGUGUGUAAGCGCAGCGAUGCGUUGAGCUAACCGGUACUAAUGAACCGUGAGGCUUAACCUU
rnacentral:rRNA from 1 species